rnacentral:rRNA from 1 species
ACGGAAGGCAGCAGUGGGGAAUAUUGGGCAAUGGGCGAAAGCCUGACCCAGCGACGCCGCGUGAAGGAAGAAGGUCUUCGGAUUGUAAACUUCUUUUAUGUAGGACGAAGAAAGUGACGGUACUACAUGAAUAAGCCACGGCUAACUACGUGCCAGCAGCCGCGGUAAUACGUAGGUGGCAAGCGUUAUCCGGAUUUACUGGGUGUAAAGGGCGCGUAGGCGGGGAUGCAAGUCAGAUGUGAAAUCCAUGGGCUCAACCCAUGAACUGCAUUUGAAACUGUGUCUCUUGAGUGCUGGAGAGGUAGAUGGAAUUCCUAGUGUAGCGGUGAAAUGCGUAGAUAUUAGGAGGAACACCAGUGGCGAAGGCGGCUUGCUGGACGAAAACUGACGCUGAGGCGCGAAGGCGUGGGGAGCAAACAGGAUUAGAUACCCUGGUA